UACGUAGGGAGCAAGCGUUGUCCGGAAUCAUUGGGCGUAAAGCGCGUGUAGGCGGCUUGGUAAGUCUGCUCUGAAAGCCCGGGGCUCAACCCCGGGAGGCGGGUGGAUACUGCUGAGCUCGAGUCCGGAAGAGGCGAGUGGAAUUCCUGGUGUAGCGGUGAAAUGCGCAGAUAUCAGGAGGAACACCAAUGGCGAAGGCAGCUCGCUGGGACGGUACUGACGCUGAGACGCGAAAGCGUGGGGAGCGAACAGG
rnacentral:rRNA from 1 species